rnacentral:rRNA from 1 species
AACGAACGCUGGCGGCGCGUCUUAAACAUGCAAGUCGAACGGCAAGAGAGAAGCUUGCUUUUCUCCUAGAGUGGCGGACUGGUGAGUAACACGUGGGUGACAAACCUUUUAGCUGGGGAUAGCUGCUAGAAAUAGUAGAUAAUACCGAAUGUGACCGUAUUU